AGUGAACGCUGGCGGUAUGCCUAACACAUGCAAGUCGAACGGCAGCACAGUAAGAGCUCGCUCUUACGGGUGGCGAGUGGCGGACGGGUGAGGAAUACAUCGGAAUCUACUCUUUCGUGGGGGAUAACGAAGGGAACCUUCCGCUAAUACCGCAUACGACCUACGGGUGAAAGCAGAGGAUCUGCGGACCUUGCGCGAUUGAAUGAGCCGAUGUCGGAUUAGCUAGUUGGCGGGGUAAAGGCCCACCAAGGCGACGAGCCGUAGCUGGACUGAGCGGAUGAUCGGCCGCAGGGCAGUGAGGACACGGAGCAGGACCCGACGGGAGACACGGGCGGGAAUUCUACGGCAGGGGGCGGAAGCGUAUUCUCGCCAAUCGGCGCAGGUGAGGCAGGCCUACGGGUUGUGAAGGCUUUCGGUGGGAAAGAAGAGCAGCGGUUUAAUACCCCGAUGUUCUGACGGUACCCACCGAAUAAGCCCCGGCUAACUCCGUG
rnacentral:rRNA from 1 species